rnacentral:rRNA from 1 species
UACGGAGGGUGCGAGCGUUGUCCGGAAUCAUUGGGCGUAAAGCGUCUGUAGGUGGCUUUUUAAGUCUGCCGUCAAAUCCCAGGGCUUAACCCUGGACAGGCGGUGGAAACUACCAAGCUGGAGUACGGUAGGGGCAGGGGGAAUUUCCGGUGGAGCGGUGAAAUGCGUAGAGAUCGGAAAGAACACCAACGGCGAAAGCACUCUGCUGGGCCGACACUGACACUGAGAGACGAAAGCUAGGGGAGCGAAUGGG